rnacentral:lncRNA from 1 species
CAAAAUCUAAAUUCCUCAAAAUUCAAUUUUCAAAUAACUUCCAAAUACCAAAUGAUCCAAAAUAACAUAACUAAUAGUUAAACAAAAUCCAACAUAAAAUCCUAAGUCAAAUCCUAAUGAUGACCAUUCCUCAGCCUAGCCAUCACUCCUCACCCGAACUAAGAGUACCUGAAAAAUUUUCAACAACUGGGAAUGAGCUCACAGCCCAAUAAGGAAUAUUAAUGCAAUUCAUGGAUCAAAUAUUUUCAUUUCAAAUAGGAGAUAUCAAUUUUUUUUUUCUCAUCAAAUAUCAGAGUUUCAAAAAUACCAAUAUAUUCAAAAUUCAACCAACCAAUUUCAUAUCAAAUUCAAACACUUUCACAUCAGACUCAAUCAAAUCCAUUCAAUUUUUUCAUUACUCUGGUUAUCAAAUAUCAAAUGCCCAGUUAGGUGGGACUUUUCAAAUGGGUGGCUAGCCUCAAAUUGUUCCUGGUGGAUGGAACCAAACACUACUAGUACUAGUAACCUCUAACCAAACCCCUAGAGGCUGGGGUUCAAAUCAAUUACAUUCCCACCAUGAAAUGUAAAGGUCAACUAUUAUAUCCCGUUGACAAGACCGAAUAGUCAACUAUUAUAUCCUGUUGACAAGGGCCAAAUAAACCAGAGUGAUGUUUUUGUUCAAGUAUUCAAAUUUACACAACAUAAUAUCUCCAUAUUUUGUAUCAUAAAUAAAACAAAAUAUUCCAACAUAAUAUUUAGUGCAAAACAAUUUGAUCCAUGCAUGGUAACAAAAUAUAAUUUUAUUUUCCACAAUUCAAAAUAACAUAUAAAAUAAUUUAAUUUUAUAAAUAUUGCAUUAACUUCCCUUACCUCAAAAGAAGUCCUUGAAAGCUUGGGAGAAG